UUUAAACAAUUGUUUUGUCUGAAAAUUUCAUCGGUCAACUUUGACCACGGAACCACGUGAUGUAGAAACCCAGCAAUGACCUCUCCUGUUAGCUAGCGGUGGAAAGCCCAGAGAACUUUAUGCUGACAUUUCCACACUGGACGUACCCAACACAAUGGAUCAGAACAAGCAAGAUGAGGAAUAUGGAUAUGACCUCUUCCCGGAGAGAAAAGCGAGGAAACCCAAGCACAUCACAAUCAGAGACAACCUGUUCACAUCCAGAAACAAGUGUCAGGUCAUGUUAACGUUCGCCAUGGAAAUUAGUCCAUAUGCCAAACUCCUGCUCAAUGCCAUGAAGAACUCCGGCUGGUACGUUGGCCUACACGGCUGUCUAUAACCGGAAACGACAUGUUAACGUCAACUGUAACAUAGAUAGGAUGCAAAAUACAAAAGUUACUUCUACUGCUUUUUUUUUACUAAACAAUAUUUAAAUCAUCAGUGAACGUUCAGUCACAUUUGCUUCUACGAAUGUAAUUAUUGUAUAAUGCCGAUGUGUAUUUCCGAAAAGUCACUAAAUAUAGCAAUAAUGUUGCUAAGUUGGCAAUAGUGGGAUGACUAAUGUUAAACGCACGUGCAGACUGACCCAGAUAUUACUUCCACUAUAUUUCACAAAUACCAAAUUUUCCCCCAGAAAACUUGCUGAGCGCGGUGGUUGGGUGCUAAGGCAGUCAUUCAUUCAGUGGCCCGUCGUGGUUUUGAGUUAAAAAAAUGUUGACAAGAAAUUUUAAAAUAUCACUUGAUAAUUAUGUGCUAUUAAACGAUUGGAUGAUUAAUACCUGGACACCAACUACAAAAGUCUUUAAAAAAAUCAAACCUUUUUGAAAAAGACUUUAAAAAAUAAGUAAAGCCUGAUGGGCCACUAGGCUUAAAAUACUGGAAGGGAAAACCUGAAUAUGAUACAUUUUUGGUUAAUGUUUU